rnacentral:lncRNA from 1 species
CUGGGAAGGACAGCACUCUAGCCUCCUCCCUGCUCAGCCUCUCUCCCCUGCCCCUUCCUCCCAGCUGCUGAGAGACCCUCUCUUUUCCUGGCUCCUCUGCUCUCCCAACUCCCCCAGCCCUCUUCUUCCAUCUCAUCCUCCUCUCCCGCCCCUGUCCCCUCUGCCUCCAGGAUUCUGCUGGUUCCCCCCGCAGGGAGCACUUUGACCUCUGCUCCAGCUGCUUUGGACCAGGCUCCCCUCCAGCCCCCACUGCCCCCACCGUGAGGGCUGCUGAUCAAGAGGUCCCACCUAGCCAGACAGGGUCUUUCUCUAGCUGAACCUGGCAACCAUUCUUUCAGCUAGACUGACUGGUCUGCCAGCAUCUCAGGUCCUUCCAUCUCUGCUUCCCAGGCAUGAGCCAACACAACAGCAUUUUACGGGGAUCAGAGGAUCCCCAAAUCAGACUCUGCCAUCAGCAAGGGGAGACUGUAACAGACUGCGACCCUCACAUGCUGAUAGGCAGUCAAGAAUAU